rnacentral:rRNA from 1 species
CACCUACGGGAGGCAGCAGUGGGGGAUAUUGCACAAUGGGGGGAACCCUGAUGCAGCGACGCCGCGUGGGUGAAGGAGCGUUUCGGCGCGUAAAGCCCUAUCGGCAGGGAAGAAGAUGACGGUACCUGACCAAGAAGCCCCGGCUAACUACGUGCCAGCAGCCGCGGUAAUACGUAGGGGGCAAGCGUUAUCCGGAUUUACUGGGUGUAAAGGGAGCGUAGACGGCAGCACAAGUCUGGAGUGAAAUCCCGGGGCUUAACCCCGGAACUGCUCUUGGAACUGCAUGGCUGGAGUACAGGCGGGGG